rnacentral:misc_RNA from 1 species
GAUGAAAACGUAGCGAAAUGCGAUAAGUAGUGUGAAUUGCAGAAUUCAGUGAAUCAUCGAAUCUUUGAACGCACAUUGCGCCCUUUGGUAUUCCAAAGGGCAUGCCUGUUCGAGCGUCAUUUGUACCCUCAAGCUUUGCUUGGUGUUGGGCGUCUUGUCUCCAGUUCGCUGGAGACUCGCCUUAAAGUAAUUGGCAGCCGGCCUACUGGUUUCGGAGCGCAGCACAAGUCGCGCUCUCUUCCAGCCAAGGUCAGCAUCCACAAAGCCUUUUUUCAACUUUUGACCUCGGAUCAGGUAGGGAUACCCGCUGAACUUAAGCAUAUCAAUAAGCGGAGGA